UACGUAGGGGGCAAGCGUUGUCCGGAAUCAUUGGGCGUAAAGAGCGUGUAGGCGGCCAGAAAAGUCCGCUGUGAAAACUCGAGGCUUAACCUCGAGCUGUCGGCGGAAACCAUCUGGCUAGAGUCCGGAAGAGGAGAAUGGAAUUCCCGGUGUAGCGGUGAAAUGCGCAGAUAUCGGGAAGAACACCCGUGGCGAAGGCGGUUCUCUGGGACGGUACUGACGCUGAGACGCGAAAGCGUGGGGAGCGAACAGG
rnacentral:rRNA from 1 species